rnacentral:rRNA from 1 species
CCUACGGGAGGCAGCAGUGGGGGAUAUUGCACAAUGGGGGGAACCCUGAUGCAGCGACGCCGCGUGAGGGAAGACGGCCUUCGGGUUGUUAACCUCUGUCGCAGGGGACGAAGGAGAUGACGGUACCCUGUGAGGAAGCCACGGCAAACUACGUGCCAGCAGUCGCGGCAAUACGGAGGCGGCGGGCGUUGUCCGGAAUUACUGGGUGUAAAGGGAGCGUAGGCGGGAUAGUAAGUGGAAUGUAUAAACUACCGGCUUAACCGAUAGAAGCGUUCAAAACUGAUAUUCUUGAGUGAGCUAGAAGCAUGCGGAAUUCGUGGUGUAGCGGUGAAAUGCGUAGAUAUGAGGAAGAACACCGGUGGCGAAGGCGGCCUGCUGGGCUUUAACUGACGCUGAGGCUCGAAAGCGUGGGUAGCGAACAGGAUUAGAUACCCGAGUAGUC